rnacentral:rRNA from 1 species
GGCGUUAACGAACGAGACCUCGACCUGCUAAAUAGUUCGGUGUAAGCGUCAGCUUACACUCGUGACUUCUUAGAGGGACUAUUGGUGCGUAGCCAAUGGAAGUUCGAGGCAAUAACAGGUCUGUGAUGCCCUUAGAUGUUCUGGGCUGCACGCGCGCUACACUGAUGGUUGCAUCGAGCUUACAACCUUGACUGAGAAGUCUGGGUAAUCUUUUCAACGACCAUCGUGCUGGGGAUAGAUCAUUGUAAUUAUUGAUCUUCAACGAGGAAUUCCUAGUAAACGCAAGUCAUCAACUUGCAUUGAUUACGUCCCUGCCCUUUGUACACACCGCCCGUCGCUAGUACCGAUUGAAUGGAUU